UAUUGGCAUUGCUGAAAAGAUAUAAUAGUGACGAAGUUGUUCUAAAAAACAUCUAGAGAAACAAGGAAGGUACUAAGAGCGCUUUGAGGCUAAAUCAACACCAUGACAUCUCUAGGUGACAAUAUUUGCUGUUCUUUGAAGAGACCCGUUAUUUUUGGUAUUUUCUUAAAUUUCGUAUAUUCUUUUGUAUACGUAAUUUUUCGUCUUCUCCUCAAAAUCAAUUGUUAAUAUUCAGUUUAGGAUGCGAGUUCAACUGAUGUAUUUAAUUUAGCGGGUUACCGAAUAAGUCUCCUAAUUCCCCGACUCCCGCUUAGUUUAUAGCCCGAUUUCUGACCCCUUCCCCAAUAUGUUUUUCGGGGAAGCAGACACCAACCAUUUUUGGAGCCAGGAAACGGGAAUCAGAGAAUUUUUGUGAGCGGUAUUCGAGAACUGAUAACACCAGGAUUCGAGAACUGAUGAUCAGGGGUCAGAAAUCGGGCUAAAAACUAAGCGGGAAUUGGGGAAUUAGGAGACUUAUUCUGUAACCCGCUAAAUUAAAUCCAUCAGUUGAAGUCUAAUUGUAAAUUGAAUGUUAACGGAUUGAUUUUGAGGAGAAGACGAAAAAUUACGUAUACAAAAGGAUAUAUUUAUGUCACGAUUCGAUAGCCAGACUAACAAAUGAACUGAUAACAGCAUUCUUUGUUCGAAAACCAGAUAAAGUGAAUUCAUGAAUAUCUGUAGCAUUGAAGGAACUCUUAGGCAUUCGAAAUGGUAUUUUUUAAUACAGCAUUCAGAAUGGUAUUUUUUUAUAAAGGGGAAGGUGAAGUCAAAACUGUUUCAGAACUAGGCUGUGGGGAGAAAGGCAGAUGUUAGCAAGCCACUCGAGCAAUAUGUUUGUAUGUAUUUUUCAGUUUUCUCCAAAGUAAUUUAACAUUGUUUAGAGGUAAUAAAUAGGUCAAGACAAUCUUUUGUAUUUACAAUGUUAAAUUAUACAAGUUAAAAACACUGAAAUUUACAGGCAGAGGUAGUAUUUAAAGGUCGGGUUGACCUUAUUUUAAUAGUAGUUGCAAAAAAAGACAGGAAAAAAACUGAAAUAAAGAUAAACAAUAUACUUGUUAAGAUUGUUUUAGAGGGAAGUUUUGUUCAACUGAAUUAUGUAUAUGCGAGAGAAAGCGUGGGAUUUUAAUACAGCACAUAUACGCCAUUUUGUUCUCUCUGUAUGUUUUGAAAGAUAUUUCCUUUGAUUUUUUGUACGAAACAGUUGUUUUUUGUGAAUUUUAAGCUAGAAGAAAGAUUAUUCCAUAUCGUCGGCCCCAAAUAAGACAAACAUAUUUGACCGUGGAAAGGUUUGAUUCUAAUUUUGACCUUAGCGUUACUCGGUUAUGCUCGACUUGAUGAAAUAUUUCGUUAGCACAGGCUGGCAGUUGCCACAUCGAAACACCUCCCAAGAUAUUUACCUUACCAGGAAUUAUGUGCAAGAAACGAAGAAAAUACAGUUGCUAAUUGUCGCUAGUAUCAGAGGAACUUUCAUAUGCUCUUCAAAUAUGCAGAAAUAUAGAGGGCUUGCUGUACUGUUCAAAGAACUCGUACACCUGUAGGAAAAUGAGGUAUACUUCCUUGUUUUGUGAAAACAAAAACAAAAUGGGGAAUAAGAAAAUGUAGAGCAAUGGUGCACGCACUCCAAACCUAAGCUUUAAGGAUCGGAAGCUUUAUUCAGUACAAGAUAUGAAUAUUACUAUAUGUAAAUGCAAGAAAAAGUGCACUUGAGUAACUUCAACACCUACAGAUGAAAACUUUAUAUGCAGCCUGUUUAUUGAUGCGUCAUCUUAAGCUAAAAAUCCAUAUGAUCAUGCUGCCAACUACAAUCUGCAUUUGCUUAGCAACUCAACUGAAGUGCCAGAUGUUGUUAUGGGAAAUAGGUAUCCUUCAGAAAGUAUUCAUUUGAAUAUAUUUUGAAUAGCUUUUCAUCUGCUUCUUUCUCGUAUUAAUUAUUUUUAUUAAUUCUUAUUUGAAAGCAUUAAAAAUUAAUAAAAUUUCUUUCGUUUGCACGAAAUAUUUGUUUGCAUCCUCCUGUCCAGUAACAAAAUUGCAAAUUUCAUAAAGAUGGAAUUUUCGCUUAGGAAACAAGCUUUUUUGCUUUGUUGACAAGCGAAGUAUUUAAAUGAGUGAGGAGAAGUAGCGCCGAACGUACUCAAAACUAAGGCAGUGGUUGCUUGGAGGGGGGCUCAAGGGGGCUUAGCCUCCUUGUUAAGAUUCAGAGAGAUUUAGGGGGGGCUCAGCCUCCUCUAACAAGUGAGUCCAUAUUCAGCUGGACAAAUUCUGUGUUGGUAACCCUUUACUUUUCCAUAAAUUUCUCAUGAAUGAACAAUUUCUUAUCAGCGUUUUUGUGUCAUUACAUAGUUUGAAUGAUUUCUAGAAACAACAGAGAGUCCUUAACACAAAAGCAAGUAAUUGGGUGUGGUAAGGGUAUGGUCGUGGGUGUGGCCUUUGAACUUGCCUACAGCCCAGCCCCCCUUCCUAACUUUUUAGGACGGCACCCCUGAACUGAGGUGCAUUUAUUCAACGAUAAUGUAUCAUUCCACUUACGGCUUUCUCCUUUGAGAGCCCUAAAAGACCCGUAAUUAGAUAUUGAAAUGUUUAAAUUUAUUUCUGUGUUGUUUCUGUUUAAAGCAACUUUCGACGAUCUUGAACUCAGGCUAGCAAAGGAGGUUCACCAAAAUAACAAGGAAAAAUGUAAUUUAAAAUGACCCGGGGAUGACGCAAUGAUAUGCCUGUGCCGAGUAUUUAAAGUGGUGUUACUUAAAAGAUUGACUUUAGUAAUGUUAGCGACGCUUUUGUCUUAAAACGCUCGUGGUACUGUGAAAGUUUUGAAAAUUAAUGGGUAACAGUUUGAAAAAUGAAUAUCGGAGAGAGAGGGGCUCAAAAGUUGAUGAAUAUUUAAUUGCCACAUUGCUAAAUUUUUUUUGAUGAUUUUGCCUUAAUUUGUAACACCGCAUUUCUAUCUAUUUGGUAUGAAAAGAAGCCCAGGCUUGGGUCGUGAGGAAGAUUGAAAAGUAUGAACACUUUUACUAUGAUACAAAGCGAUGUAUACAGCCGAUUUACACCAUUUUCACAGGCGCAGUUAAAGGCCCUCAUUACAAAAAAUGGCUCCAAAGACAAUUGUGCGGCCUCAAUCGUUGCAAGUUGCAGAAAAAGUUGCGGCGUGUAACACCCCUUACAAAAACGUUUCGCAAUCCAUUCAAUUACCAUUGCGACACAAGUUGUCAUAUCAUUCAAGCUUUGUUGUUCUGCGCAACAGCAUAUCAAUGUCACAUGCUAUUGCCUUUCCAAUAUUACCCUUUUCUUGGUAAUCUCUCUGCCUUUGAAUUUGUUUAUAAUAUUAUCUAAUUUUCAAGCAGUCCGUG